AUGGUUCUGAUUGGUUCUUUGUGUGUUCCACAGGAAGACUGCUCCCUGACCUACCUGAGUCUUGCAGGAAAUCAACUGAUGGACGGCAGAGUGGCCACCCUCGCCAGGAUGAAAGCAGCUCCUCUGACCACAGUGACUUGGAUAUCUCUGUCAGCCCUCUGCCAGCUGUCUGCCCACGCCUACCUGCAGCCCCCAAUCCACAGAAUGUACCCACAGUCAGGAAACAAGCUCUUCUGUUCCAGAAACCAGAUAUGCUGUGGCACCCUCUGUCUUCGGCAAGGAGGAGUACAACAGUGCCAAGGCCCGUCUCACUCAACUAAGACUGAGAUGGUUAGCAGAGGUGUGUAGCAGCUGCAUUGAUGACACACACAUACACACAGCCGUCCCUGUAAUUCCCUAUAGAACCCAUAUGGAAGC
rnacentral:lncRNA from 1 species